rnacentral:tRNA from 1 species
GCCCUUGUAGCUCAGCGGUAGAGCACCCGCCUUGUAAGCGGGCGGUCCUCGGUUCGAUCCCGAGCGUGGGCUCCA